UACUAGACAACAAUGGCAACUUGUUCUCUUUUCACACUCUUCCACCCAAACCUCACAACAGAACCAAAAGUCACAGUUAAACCCCUUGCUGUCCUCAACGAUUCCAACAAAAUGAAUCGUCGUUUUCACAAGCUUCCUUCUGGACUGAACAUGGAAGUGAUUGGACAGAAGUAUAGAAACCCCAGAUAAGGGGAACAGUGAAAGUUAUCAUGCGGCUUGGUGCUCAGUGGCGUAAGCAAGUAGACGCAUACAGGUGAUAUUGCUGACUUCAUCCAGGAAUAACUUAAUUUGACGCCAGCAUUAUUGGACAUUCAUUUGGAGGCCUAAUUAUUCAGCAACUACAUAGCAAAUAUAAGAAAUGAAAAAAAAUUCAGAACUGAAAGGGCUGUACCCUGAUCUUGCUGGAGCUGUGCUUGUCUAUUCUGUACCUCCUUCAGGCAACAGUUGGUUAGUGAGGUGAUAUCUCUUUUCGAAGCCUAUUGCUGCUUUUAAGAUACUCGCAUUAGAUUCUUAGAAAGAAGCUCACAGAUAAUAGAACAUGGAUUAGGACAGCAUAAGAUCAAUCCUUUUUAAUUAUAUUAUUUUUAUAGGUACAUAUAUUAAUUUUAUUCAGCAGUGGUUGAUUUUUUUUAAUCA